rnacentral:lncRNA from 1 species
CCUAUUAGCCCUUUUUCCAAUUGAAAAUAACAGAAUCCGCUAGUACUACUAGCGGAUGGAUAAAAUACAAUGUGUGUCCCACAACAGCAACAUGAAUUUCCACCAUACACGAACAAAAAAUAGGUUAACAUCAUACACCAAAUGGGUAAUUAUAGCAACAGUUGGUUAACAUCAUACACACAUGAACCCAUUAUAGCAAUAGUUGAAUAUAUUAUAGUAACAGUUAAUAUUAAAUUGCAGCCUCUUGCAUACACGCAGUGCAGCAACACGCAAGAACUUGAAUUCCCUCCUGCAUACACAUAACAUUAAUAAGUAUUCAACAGGUUCAUGUACAUCAACAGUUAAGCAACAUCACAGCGAUCUGUACAUCAACAGUUAAGCAACAUCACAGCCUUAAUACAUUAAAAUUUCCAUAUCAAAUACCAAAAAAUAAAAAUUACCAUAUCAGCCCCAAACCACCCAGCACACACAAACACCCACCCACACCUAGCUUUUAGGGCUCACAAUACAUUUAAUUGUUUAAACAUGUAUAAUCCAUAUUUACCUCAUUUAUAUAUGCCCCAAAAUGCCCACCAAUUUUUAGGCCACAAUGGUUUCCCCCAGCCACCUUCUACUGAUAGUCAAUACACAAGUACAUAUGGAUGUGUUAGGAUGCAAAAUUUAUGAUCCCAAGUAGCAGCAAAAGACUCAAUUUGAAGAUAUGCAAUGAUGCCAUUACAACUAUUUAAUAUUUAAACUUAUAUUUUUUCAAUAUGUUAUUCAAAGAAACAAUGAUCUGCUGAAGCCCCAAACCAUAAGUUAUUUUAAAAUUCAAGCAUAUGCUCACCUAGAGCCCAGACAGUAUAAGUACCACAAUGGCUUAGCUGCCACUUUAGCAAGAAAAUCUUAAACAAGUAUGAUCAAAGUGUCUAUGCUAUUUACCUGAGAAAGGUUGAAUACAAUAGGGACACAGCUGCAACUCGUCAGCUAACAUAGAUCUGCAACAAAAGAAAAACAACCAAUUUCAGAUUUUAUUAUGUAAAAAGAUAUAUACGUGUAUUAGUACAUCUGGUUUUCCAAUUUGGUCUUACUUGAAAAUCUAGAAAUCAU